rnacentral:rRNA from 1 species
GUCUAGAUUUGCAUACUCUGAAGGCACCAGAUCCCAUCUGAGCUUGGAAGUCAAGCAGGGUCAGGCCUGGUUAGUAUUUGAAAAAGGGAUUGCUAAAGAAUACUAGGUGCUGUAGGUG